rnacentral:piRNA from 2 species
UGAGACUUCUCUUUGGGUGGUAACUGGG